GUCAAGUUUUGUUUACAAACAAUGUGCCAGAUGUUGCUGGCGUUAAGAAAUUUACGAAUAGAAUAUUUAAAGAAGUAUUCCUGAUUUCCAUUUCAAAACACGUCGCUGUGAAUAUGGAAUCUGCAGGAGAGAUAGAUGCAGCAGCAGUGGAUAGCGAAGUGGAUAUCAAGGAAGAACCAAUAUUAACUGAACCCAGCCAGCAACCAUGUGAAGAAGAUGAACACAUCAUCAUUAAAGAAGAAAAUAUUAUUUUUGAAGAUUCUGAUGCAUGUGACCCAGUACAGAUGAAGAAAGAGG